CCUACGGGUGGCAGCAGUAGGGAAUAUUGCUCAAUGGGGGAAACCCUGAAGCAGCAACGCCGCGUGGAGGAUGAAGGUUUUAGGAUUGUAAACUCCUUUUGUUAGAGAAGAUUAUGACGGUAUCUAACGAAUAAGCACCGGCUAACUCCGUGCCAGCAGCCGCGGUAAUACGGAGGGUGCAAGCGUUACUCGGAAUCACUGGGCGUAAAGAGUGCGUAGGCGGGGUAAUAAGUCAGAUGUGAAAUCCUGUAGCUUAACUACAGAACAGCAUUUGAAACUGUUACUCUGUAGUGUGGGAGAGAUAGAUGUAGUAUUUGUUGUAGGGGUAUAAUCCGCAUAGAGCAAGAGGAGUACUC
rnacentral:rRNA from 1 species